GUCUACAGCCAUGCUACCCUGAACAAGCCCGAUCCCAUCUGAUCUUGGAAGCGAAGCAAGGUCGGGCCUAGGAGGACCAGGUGCUGUAGAUG
rnacentral:rRNA from 1 species